CGGGACCUUGCAGGUGGUCAGGCAUGAAGUCGAGCGAUGAUCCAGUUUGAGAGGUUGAAGCCGCAAGGACAGAUGCAAUUAGACUGGACCAGAGCGGCAAACGGGUGAGCAAUGCGUGAGUAAUCUACCUCCAUGUCGAGUAUAGCCUCGCGAAAGUGAGAGUAAUACUUGAUGUGGUUAGCACCUCAUAAGGGAAGCUAACUAAAGGUGUCCGCAAGGAUAUCGCAUGGAGAUGAGCUCAUGUUCUAUCAGCUAGUUGGUAGGGUAACGGCCUACCAAGGCUCAGACGGAUAGGUGGCCUUAGAGGGUGGUCACCCACAAGGGGACUGAGACACUGCCCCUACUCCUACGGGAGGCUGCAGUCGAGAAUAUUUAGCAAUGGACGAAAGUCUGACUAUGCGACGCCGCGUGAGGGAUGAAGGUUUUCGGAUCGUAAACCUCUUUCGAUAGGGAAGAAACUCCCUGCCCGUAAGGGCAGGUGCUGACGGUACCUAGAGAAGAAGCCAUGGCCAACUCCGUGCCAGCAGCCGCGGUAAUACGGGGAUGGCGAGCGUUACUCGGAUUUACUGGGUGUAAAGGGCAGGUAGGCGGUUUUGCAAGUUGAAGGUUAAAUCCUCUGACUCAAUCAGAGAACUUGCCUUCAAAACUACAUUACUUUGAGGAUUUGAGAGGAGAGCGGAAUUCCCGGUGUAAGGGGUGAAAUCUGUAGAUAUCGGGAGGAACACCCCGUGACGAAAGCGGCUCUCUGGCCAAAUAUCUGACGCUGAACUGCGAAAGCUAGGGGAGCAAAACAGGAUUAGAUACCCUGGUAGUCCUAGCCGUAAACGAUGAGCCACUAGGUUGUUGGGGUUAAACCCUCGGCGCGGUAAGCAAACGUGUUAAGUGCUCACCUGAGACUACGACCCGCAAGUUA
rnacentral:rRNA from 1 species